rnacentral:rRNA from 1 species
UACGAGGGGGGCAAGCGUUGUUCGGAAUUAUUGGGCGUAAAGGGCGCGUAGGCGGUGCGGUAAGUCACCUGUGAAAACUCUGGGCUCAACUCAGAGCCUGCAGGCGAAACUGCCGUGCUUGAGUGUGGGAGAGGUGCGUGGAAUUCCCGGUGUAGCGGUGAAAUGCGUAGAUAUCUGGAGGAAUACCGGUGGCGAAGGCGGCAUCCUGGACCGGCAUUGACGCUGAUGAGCGAAAGCUAGGGGAGCAAACGGG